GUAGGUGGCAAGCGUUGUCCGGAAUUAUUGGGCGUAAAGCGCGCGCGGGCGGUCCUUUAAGUCUGAUGUGAAAGCCCACGGCUCAACCGUGGAGGGUCAUUGGAAACUGGGGGACUUGAGUACAGAAGAGGAAAGCGGAAUUCCAAGUGUAGCGGUGAAAUGCGUAGAGAUUUGGAGGAACACCAGUGGCGAAGGCGGCUUUCUGGUCUGUAACUGACGCUGAGGCGCGAAAGCGUGGGGAGCAAACAGGAUUAGAUACCCUGGUAGUCCACGCCGUAAACGAUGAGUGCUAAGUGUUAGGGGGUUUCCCGCCCCCUUAGUGCUGCAGCUAGCGCAUUAAGCACUCCGCCUGGGGAUACGGCCGCAAGGCUG
rnacentral:rRNA from 1 species